CCUACGGGUGGCAGCAGUGAGGAAUAUUGGUCAAUGGACGAGAGUCUGAACCAGCCAAGUAGCGUGAAGGAUGACUGCCCUAUGGGUUGUAAACUUCUUUUAUAUGGGAAUAAAAUGUUCCACGUGUGGGAUUUUGUAUGUACCAUAUGAAUAAGGAUCGGCUAACUCCGUGCCAGCAGCCGCGGUAAUACGGAGGAUCCGAGCGUUAUCCGGAUUUAUUGGGUUUAAAGGGAGCGUAGGUGGAUUGGUAAGGAAGUUGUGAAAGUUUGCGGCUUAACCGUAAAAUUGCAGUUGAAACUGGCAGUCUUGAGUACAGUAGAGGUGGGCGGAAUUCGUGGUGUAGCGGUGAAAUGCUUAGAUAUCACGAAGAACUCCGAUUGCGAAGGCAGUUCACUGGCCUGCAACUGACACUGAGGCUCGAAAGUGUGGGUAUCAAACAGGAUUAGAUACCCCAGUAGUC
rnacentral:rRNA from 1 species